UUAUGCAUGAAUUUGAUAAGUACUUGACUGCAUCCAGAAACCUUCUGUUACUAAAUUAAAAAUUUAGAUAAUCCAGUACCAAAGUAUAGUGAGUUGUUUGCAAGUCAUCGUGGUGAUCUCAGGUCGGAGGGACACUUAUACCCAUACUCUUCGCGAGCAACUCUUGAUAGUAGAGUCUUCGUAGUUGGUCACAUUCAGUGAUGAUAUACUCUUACAUCUCAUCUAUAUGC
rnacentral:lncRNA from 1 species